rnacentral:rRNA from 1 species
GUGGGGAAUAUUGGACAAUGGGCGCAAGCCUGAUCCAGCCAUGCCGCGUGAGUGAUGAAGGCCUUCGGGUUGUAAAGCUCUUUAGUCCACGAAUAUAAUGACUGUAGUGGAAGAAUAAGCCCCGGCUAACUUCGUGCCAGCAGCCGCGGUAAUACGAAGGGGGCGAGCGUUAUUCGGAAUCACUGGGCGUAAAGCGUGCGUAGGCUGUUUUGUAAGUCAGAAGUGAAAGCCCAGGGCUUAACCCUGGAAUUGCUUUUGAAACUACAAGACUCGAAUUCGGGAGAGGAUAGCGGAAUUGUCAGUGUAGCAGUGAAAUGCGUAGAUAUUGACAGGAACACCAGUGGCGCAAGCGGCUAUCUGGACCGAUAUUGACGCUGAGGCACGAAAGCGUGGGGAGCAAACAGGAUUAGAUACCCCAGUAGUCC